rnacentral:rRNA from 1 species
AGAACGAACGCUGGCGGCAUGCCUAACACAUGCAAGUCGAACGCUCUUGGGGCUUCGGUCUCAGGGGAGUGGCGCACGGGUGAGUAACGCGUGGGAACGUACCUUUUGGUUCGGAACAACCCAGGGAAACUUGGGCUAAUACCGGAUAAGCCCUUACGGGGAAAGAUUUAUCGCCGAAAGAUCGGCCCGCGUCUGAUUAGCUAGUUGGUGAGGUAAUGGCUCACCAAGGCGACGAUCAGUAGCUGGUCUGAGAGGAUGAUCAGCCACAUUGGGACUGAGACACGGCCCAAACUCCUACGGGAGGCAGCAGUGGGAAUAUUGGACAAUGGGCGCAAGCCUGAUCCAGCCAUGCCGCGUGAGUGAUGAAGGCCCUAGGGUUGUAAAGCUCUUUGUGCGGGAAGAUAAUGACGGUACCGCAAGAAUAAGCCCCGGCUAACUUCGUGCCAGCAGCCGC